AUUGAAACACCAGUUCUUGUACGAUCACAGAAGUUAAGCAACAUUGAGCCUGGUCAUUAACUAGAUGGGUGACCACUUGGGAAUAUCAGGUGCUGUAAG
rnacentral:rRNA from 1 species